rnacentral:rRNA from 1 species
ACGUAGGGAGCGAGCGUUGUCCGGAAUUACUGGGUGUAAAGGGAGCGUAGGCGGGGUCUCAAGUCGAAUGUUAAAUCUACCGGCUCAACUGGUAGCUGCGUUCGAAACUGGGGCUCUUGAGUGAAGUAGAGGCAGGCGGAAUUCCUAGUGUAGCGGUGAAAUGCGUAGAUAUUAGGAGGAACACCAGUGGCGAAGGCGGCCUGCUGGGCUUUUACUGACGCUGAGGCUCGAAAGCGUGGGGAGCAAACAG